ensembl:snRNA U6 U6 spliceosomal RNA
GUGUUCACUUCAGCAGCACAUAUACUAAAAAAUUGGAAUGAUACAGAGAAGAUUAGCAUGGCCCCUGCACAAGAAUGACAUGCAAAUUCGUGAAGCAUUCCAUAUUUUU